rnacentral:rRNA from 1 species
AUUGAACGCUGGCGGCAGGCCUAACACAUGCAAGUCGAGCGGAUGAAGGGAGCUUGCUCCUGGAUUCAGCGGCGGACGGGUGAGUAAUGCCUAGGAAUCUGCCUGGUAGUGGGGGAUAACGUCCGGAAACGGGCGCUAAUACCGCAUACGUCCUGAGGGAGAAAGUGGGGGAUCUUCGGACCUCACGCUAUCAGAUGAGCCUAGGUCGGAUUAGCUAGUUGGUGGGGUAAAGGCCUACCAAGGCGGCGAUCCGUAACUGGUCUGAGAGGAUGAUCAGUCACACUAGAACUGAGACACGGUCCAGACUCCUACGGGAGGCAGCAGUGGGGAAUAUUGGACAAUGGGCGAAAGCCUGAUCCAGCCAUGCCGCGUGUGUGAAGAAGGUCUUCGGAUUGUAAAGCACUUUAAGUUGGGAGGAAGGGCAGUAAGUUAAUACCUUACUGUUUUGACGUUACCAACAGAAUAAGCACCGGCUAACUUCGUG